GGUUUGUAUUUCCUAAACUGUAAAAAGUUGAAGAAUAUUCCAUGAUAAGUGUUUUCUGAAUCAGAUGUCUUUUCUCUCUCUCUUCCCUUGUCAGAAUGGAGAUUGAGAAGACAACGAGGAGGAAUUCACUGGAGCAAUGCUAUUUUACAAAAAUGGGCAUCAAUUCCUCCAAGCAGCAGCUGAAGAACGUCAGCUGUGACAGAAGACAAUGGGAAGAUUGUUCUUUUGCUGAGGAACAAAAGGCAAUGAAUGAAUCAGUGUAUGGAGGUGGUGGAAGCAAGGAUGAUUUGCAAGGACAGAAAGAUAUGGAAAGGCCUAAUUUAUAAACUGAUGUACUACUGUAUCUCUUUCUUUGGCUUAUCCCAAACUGAGACCUGUCUGUCACCUCUUCUUUAACUGUGAGGAGUUGAGAUACUUGUGUCUCUUAAAGUUUUGCAUUGGAAAAGAAGACAAUAUUCACUUUGCAGGUUAAAGAUCUGCCUGAACUCUGUACACCUUAUGGAAGA